GACGAACGCUGGCGGCGUGCCUAAUACAUGCAAGUAGAACGCUGAAGGAGGAGCUUGCUUCUCUGGAUGAGUUGCGAACGGGUGAGUAACGCGUAGGUAACCUGCCUGGUAGCGGGGGAUAACUAUUGGAAACGAUAGCUAAUACCGCAUAAUAGUAGAUGUUGCAUGACAUUUGCUUAAAAGGUGCAAUUGCAUCACUACCAGAUGGACCUGCGUUGUAUUAGCUAGUUGGUGGGGUAACGGCUCACCAAGGCGACGAUACAUAGCCGACCUGAGAGGGUGAUCGGCCACACUGGGACUGAGACACGGCCCAGACUCCUACGGGAGGCAGCAGUAGGGAAUCUUCGGCAAUGGACGGAAGUCUGACCGAGCAACACCGCGUGAGUGAAGAAGGGUUUCGGAUCGUAAAGCUCUGUUGUAAGAGAAGAACGAGUGUGAGAGUGGAAAGUUCACACUGUGACGGUAUCUUACCAGAAAGGGACGGCUAACUACGUG
rnacentral:rRNA from 1 species